CCCACCGAGGGGCGCUGCGACCGUCGCUCCGUCGACGACCAGGCUCGGCGGGCCGUCCCCUUUCGAACCGCGCCUACCGAAU
rnacentral:ncRNA from 2 species